rnacentral:rRNA from 1 species
AGUGAACGCUGGCGGUAGGCCUAACACAUGCAAGUCGAACGGCAGCACAGUAAGAGCUUGCUCUUACGGGUGGCGAGUGGCGGACGGGUGAGGAAUACAUCGGAAUCUACUUUUUCGUGGGGGAUAACGUAGGGAAACUUACGCUAAUACAGCAUACGACCUACGGGUGAAAGCAGGGGAUCUUCGGACCUUGCGCGAUUGAAUGAGCCGAUGUCGGAUUAGCUAGUUGGCGGGGUAAAGGCCCACCAAGGCGACGAUCCGUAGCUGGUCUGAGAGGAUGAUCGGCCACACUGGAACUGAGGCACGGUCCAGACUCCUACGGGAGGCAGCAGUGGGGAAUAUUGGACAAUGGGCGCAAGCCUGAUCCAGCCAUACCGCGUGGGUGAAGAAGGCCUUCGGGUUGUAAAGCCCUUUUGUUGGGAAAGAAAAGCAGCAGGUUAAUACCCCGCUGUUCUGACGGUACCCAAAGAAUAAGCACCGGCUAACUUCGUG